rnacentral:rRNA from 1 species
UACGUAGGGUGCGAGCGUUAAUCGGAAUUACUGGGCGUAAAGCGUGCGCAGGCGGUUUUGUAAGUCUGACGUGAAAUCCCCGGGCUUAACCUGGGAACUGCAUUGGUGACUGCAUUGCUGGAGUAUGGCAGAGGGGGGUGGAAUUCCACGUGUAGCAGUGAAAUGCGUAGAGAUGUGGAGGAACACCGAUGGCGAAGGCAGCCCCCUGGGCCAAUACUGACGCUCAUGCACGGAAAGCGUGGGGGAGCAAACAGG